rnacentral:rRNA from 1 species
GAUGAACGCUGGCGGCGUGCCUAAUACAUGCCAGUCGAGCGAACAGACGAGGAGCUUGCUCCUCUGACGUUAGCGGCGGACGGGUGAGUAACACGUGGAUAACCUACCUAUAAGACUGGGAUAACUUCGGGAAACCGGAGCUAAUACCGGAUAAUAUAUUGAACCGCAUGGUUCAAUAGUGAAAGACGGUUUUGCUGUCACUUAUAGAUGGAUCCGCGCCGCAUUAGCUAGUUGGUAAGGUAACGGCUUACCAAGGCAACGAUGCGUAGCCGACCUGAGAGGGUGAUCGGCCACACUGGAACUGAGACACGGUCCAGACUCCUACGGAAGGCAGCAGUAGGGAAUCUUCCGCAAUGGGCGAAAGCCUGACGGAGCAACGCCGCGUGAGUGAUGAAGGUCUUCGGAUCGUAAAACUCUGUUAUUAGGGAAGAACAAAUGUGUAAGUAACUAUGCACGUCUUGACGGUACCUAAUCAGAAAGCCACGGCUAACUACGUG